rnacentral:rRNA from 1 species
GUGCCCAGCAGCCGCCGGUAAUAACGAGGGGUGCGAGGCGUUAAUCAGAAUUACUGGGCGUAAAGCGUACGCAGGCCGGUUUGUUAAGCGAGAUGUGAAAGCCCCGGGCUCAACCUGGGAAACUGCAUUUCGAACUGGCAAACUAGAGUGUGAUAGAGGGUGGUAGAAUUUCAGGUGUAGCGGUGAAAUGCGUAGAGAUCUGAAGGAAUACCGAUGGCGAAGGCAGCCACCUGGGUCAACACUGACGCUCAUGUACGAAAGCGUGGGGGAGCAAACGGGAUUAGAUACCCCGGUAGUCC